rnacentral:miRNA from 1 species
ACAAAGCUCUGUAUUAAAAGAAAAACAUACCUGAACACCUAAAUUUAUUUUAUUUAUAUAUAUAUAUAUAUAAAUAAAAUAAAUUUAGGUGUUCAGGUAUGUUUUUCUUUUAAUACAGAGCUUUGU